rnacentral:rRNA from 1 species
CCUACGGGGGGCUGCAGUGGGGGAUAUUGCACAAUGGGGGGAACCCUGAUGCAGCGACGCCGCGUGUGGGAAGACGGUCCUCUGGAUUGUACACCACUGUCCCCAGGGACGAAAAUGACGGUACCUGGGGAGGAAGCUCCGGCUAACUACGUGCCAGCAGCCGCGGUAAUACGUAGGGAGCGAGUGUUGUCCGGAAGUACUGGGUGUAAAGGGAGCGUAGGCGGGGAUGCAAGUUGGGUGUCAAAACUACCGGCUCAACUGGUAGUCGCACUCAAAACUGCAGCUCUUGAGUGAAGUAGAGGCAGGCGGAAUGCCUAGUGUAGCGGUGAAAUGCGUAGAUAUUAGGAGGAACACCAGUGGCGAAGGCGGCCUGCUGGGCUUUUACUGACGCUGAGGCUCGAAAGUGUGGGGAGCAAACAGGAUUAGAUACCCGUGUAGUC